rnacentral:rRNA from 1 species
CACUUCUAAGGAAGGCAGCAGGCGCGCAAAUUACCCAAUCCUGACUCAGGGAGGUAGUGACAAGAAAUAACAAUAAACCGGCUUAUGCCGGUUUAAUUGGAAUGAGUACAAUUUAAACAUCUUAACGAGGAACAAUUGGAGGGCAAGUCUGGUGCCAGCAGCCGCGGUAAUUCCAGCUCCAAUAGCGUAUACUAAAGUUGUUGCAGUUAAAAAGCUUGUAGUUGGAUUUCUGUGGGGACGGAGCGGCCGGCCGCACAUCGCGGUUCGAGCUAGCGCUUUCCCUACAUCCUGCCGCGAACCGUGCUACCAUUAAUUUGGUGGCGCCGGGGAUCGGCUCGAUUACUUUGAGAAAAAUAGAGUGUUCAAAGCAGGCCACAUGCCUUGAAUAAGUUAGCAUGGAAUAAUAACUAAGGACUUCGGUUCUAUUUUGUUGGUGUUCGGGACUGAAGUAAUGAUUGAUAGGGACAGUUGGGGCGGUCUGUAUUCCAAAGCGAGAGGUGAAAUUCUUAGACCUUCGGAAGACAAACAGCUGCGAAAGCGUUCCGCAAGGAUGUUCCCUUUGAUCAAGAACGAAAGUUGGGGGAUCGAAGACGAUCAGAUACCGUCGUAGUCUCAACUAUAAACUAUACCAGCUAGGGAUCGGCCAACGUUAUUUUAUACCGACUUGGUCGGCACCUUAUGAGAAAUCAAAGCAUCUGGGUUCCGGGGGGAGUAUGGUCGCAAGGCUGAAACUUAAAGGAAUUGACGGAAGGGCACCACCAGCCGUGGAGCCUGUGGCUUAAUUUGACUCAACACGGGAAAACUUACCAGGUCCAGACAUAGUAAGGAUUGACAGAUUGAUAGCUCUUUCUUGAUUCUGUGGGUGGUGGUGCAUGGCCGUUCUUAGUUGGUGGAGUGAUUUGUCUGGUUAAUUCCGUUAACGAACGAGACCCCAGCCUGCUAAAUAGCGCGCAUGAGCUUUGCUCGUGGCGAGCUUCUUAGAGGGACUAUGAUGCGCGAUAGCACAUGGAAGUUUGGGGCAAUAACAGGUCUGUGAUGCACUUAGAUGUUCUGGGCCGCACACGGGCUACACUGGCGCCUGCAACGAGCAUAUCAGCUGGCCCGAGAGGGUCUUGGCUAAUCUUUUGAACCGGCGCCGUGCUUGGGAUUGACCUUUGCAAUUGUUGGUCAUGCAACGAGGAAUGCCUUGUAAACGCGAGUCAUCAGCUCGCAUUGAAUACGUCCCUGCCCUUUGUGCACACCGCCCGUCGCUCCUACCGAUGAAUGUUCCGAUGAAAUUUUCGGAGAGCACCUGUGAACUUGGCUCUGCCUUGCGAACGGGAGGCUCAAAGUCACUUAAAUCUGAACAUUUCGAGG